rnacentral:rRNA from 1 species
UGGGGAAUUUUGGACAAUGGGCGCAAGCCUGAUCCAGCAAUGCCGCGUGCAGGAUGAAGGCCUUCGGGUUGUAAACUGCUUUUGUACGGAACGAAAAGCCCUGGGUUAAUACCCUGGGGUCAUGACGGUACCGUAAGAAUAAGCACCGGCUAACUACGUGCCAGCAGCCGCGGUAAUACGUAGGGUGCGAGCGUUAAUCGGAAUUACUGGGCGUAAAGCGUGCGCAGGCGGUUUUGUAAGACAGAGGUGAAAUCCCCGGGCUCAACCUGGGAACUGCCUUUGUGACUGCAAGGCUAGAGUACGGCAGAGGGGGAUGGAAUUCCGCGUGUAGCAGUGAAAUGCGUAGAUAUGCGGAGGAACACCGAUGGCGAAGGCAAUCCCCUGGGCCUGUACUGACGCUCAUGCACGAAAGCGUGGGGAGCAAACAGGAUUAGAUACCCUGGUAGUCCACGCCCUAAACGAUGUCAACUGGUUGUUGGGUCUUAACUGACUCAGUAACGAAGCUAACGCGUGAAGUUGACCGCCUGGGGAGUACGGCCGCAAGGUUGAAACUUAAAGGAAUUGACGGGGUCAUAGCUGUUUCCU